rnacentral:rRNA from 1 species
GUCCACGCCGUAAACGAUGGAUGCUAGGUGUCGCGGGCUUUGACUCCUGCGGUGCCGUAGCCAACGCAUUAAGCAUCCCGCCUGGGAAGUACGGCCGCAAGGCUAAAACUCAAAGGAAUUGACGGGGGCCCGCACAAGCGGUGGAGCAUGUGGUUUAAUUCGACGCAACGCGAAGAACCUUACCUGGGCUAGAAACAUAGAAACCUGGGAGAAAUCUCGGGGUGCUCUUCGGAGAAUCUGUGGUUAGGUGCUGCAUGGCUGUCGU